rnacentral:rRNA from 1 species
AUUGAACGCUGGCGGCAGGCCUAACACAUGCAAGUCGAGCGGAGCGGCGGACGGGUGAGUAAUGUCUGGGAAACUGCCUGAUGGAGGGGGAUAACGUCCGGAAACGGGCGCUAAUACCGCAUACUAUCAGAUGAGCCUAGGUCGGAUUAGCUAGGUGGUGGGGUAAAGGCCUACCAAGGCGACGAUCAGUAACUGGUCUGAGAGGAUGAUCAGUGACACUGGAACUGAGACACGGUCCAGACUCCUACGGGAGGCAGCAGUGGGGAAUAUUGGACAAUGGGCGAAAGCCUGAUCCAGCCAUGCCGCGUGUGUGAAGAAGGUCUUCGGAUUGUAAAGCACUUUAAGUUGGGAGGCGUUACCAACAGAAUAAGCACCGGCUAACUUCGUGCCAGCAGCCGCGGUAAUUC